rnacentral:rRNA from 1 species
AGUGAACGCUGGCGGUAGGCCUAACACAUGCAAGUCGAACGGCAGCACAGUAAGAGCUUGCUCUUACGGGUGGCGAGUGGCGGACGGGUGAGGAAUACAUCGGAAUCUACUUUUUCGUGGGGGAUAACGUAGGGAAACUUACGCUAAUACCGCAUACGACCUACGGGUGGAAGCAGGGGAUCUUCGGACCUUGCGCGAUUGAAUGAGCCGAUGUCGGACUAGCUAGUUGGCGGGGUAAAGGCCCACCAAGGCGACGAUCCGUAGCUGGUCUGAGAGGAUGAUCAGCCACACUGGAACUGAGACACGGUCCAGACUCCUACGGGAGGCAGCAGUGGGGAAUAUUGGACAAUGGGCGCAAGCCUGAUCCAGCCAUACCGCGUGGGUGAAGAAGGCCUUCGGGUUGUAAAGCCCUUUUGUUGGGAAAGAAAAGCAGCAGGUUAAUACCCCGCUGUUCUGACGGUACCCAAAGAAUAAGCACCGGCUAACUUCGUG